UAGGGAAUCUUCCACAAUGGGCGAAAGCCUGAUGGAGCAACGCCGCGUGGGUGAAGAAGGUCUUCGGAUCGUAAAACCCUGUUGUUAGAGAGAAAGUGCGUGAGAGUAACUGUUCACGUUUCGACGGUAUCUAACCAGAAAGCCACGGCUAACUACGUGCCAGCAGCCGCGGUAAUACGUAGGUGGCAAGCGUUAUCCGGAUUUAUUGGGCGUAAAGGGAACGCAGGCGGUCUUUUAAGUCUGAUGUGAAAGCCUUCGGCUUAACCGGAGUAGUGCAUUGGAAACUGGGAGACUUGAGUGCAGAAGAGGAGAGUGGAACUCCAUGUGUAGCGGUGAAGUGCGUAGAUAUAUGGAAGACACCAGUGGCGAAAGCGGCUCUCUGGUCUGUAACUGACGCUGAGGUUCGAAAGCGUGGGUAGCAAACAGGAUUAGAUACCCUGGUAG
rnacentral:rRNA from 1 species